rnacentral:rRNA from 1 species
GAUGAACGCUGGCGGCGUGCCUAAUACAUGCAAGUCGAGCGAACAGACGAGGAGCUUGCUCCUCUGCCGUUAGCGGCGGACGGGUGAGUAACACGUGGAUAACCUACCUAUAAGACUGGGAUAACUUCGGGAAACCGGAGCUAAUACCGGAUAAUAUAUUGAACCGCAUGGUUCAAUAGUGAAAGACGGUUUUGCUGUCACUUAUAGAUGGAUCCGCGCCGCAUUAGCUAGUUGGUAAGGUAACGGCUUACCAAGGCAACGAUGCGUAGCCGACCUGAGAGGGUGAUCGGCCACACUGGAACUGAGACACGGUCCAGACUCCUACGGGAGGCAGCAGUAGGGAAUCUUCCGCAAUGGGCGAAAGCCUGACGGAGCAACGCCGCGUGAGUGAUGAAGGUCUUCGGAUCGUAAAACUCUGUUAUUAGGGAAGAACAAAUGUGUAAGUAACUAUGCACGUCUUGACGGUACCUAAUCAGAAAGCCACGGCUAACUACGU